rnacentral:rRNA from 1 species
CCUACGGGCGGCAGCAGUGAGGAAUAUUGGUCAAUGGGCGCGAGCCUGAACCAGCCAAGUAGCGUUAAGGAUGACUGCCCUACGGGUUGUAAACUUCUUUUAUAAAGGAAUAAAAUGAGGCACGUGUGCCUUUUUGUAUGUACUUUAUGAAUAAGGAUCGGCUAACUCCGUGCCAGCAGCCGCGGUAAUACGGAGGAUCCGAGCGUUAGCCGGAUUUAUUUGGUUUAAAGGGAGCGUAGAUGGGUUGUUAAGUCAGUUGUGAAAGUUUGCGGCUCAACCGUAAAAUUGCAAUUGAUACUGGCAGUCUUGAGUACAGUGUGGGUAGGCGGAAUUCGUGGUGUAGCGGUGAAAUGCUUAGAUAUCACGAAGAACUCCGAUUGCGAAGGCAGGUUACUAAACUGCAACUGACAUUGAUGCUCGAAAGUGUGGGUAUCAAACAGGAUUAGAUACCCUAGUAGUC